AAUUCGAUGAUACGCGAGGAACCUUACCAAGGCUUAAAUGGGAAAUGACAGGUUUAGAGAUAGACUUUUCUUCGGACAUUUUUCAAGGUGCUGCAUGGUUGUCGUCAGCUCGUGCCGUGAGGUGUUAGGUUAAGUCCUGCAACGAGCGCAACCCUUGUCACUAGUUGCUACCAUUUAGUUGAGGACUCUAGUGAGACUGCCUACGCAAGUAGAGAGGAAGGUGGGGAUGACGUCAAAUCAUCACGGCCCUUACGUCUUGGGCCACACACGUAAUACAAUGGUCGGUACAGAGGGCAGCUACACGGUGACGUGAUGCGAAUCUCGAAAGCCGAUCUCAGUUCGGAUUGGAGUCUGCAACUCGACUCUAUGAAGCUGGAAUCGCUAGUAAUCGCGCAUCAGCCAUGGCGCGGUGAAUACGUUCCCGGGCCUUGUACACACCGCCCGUCAAGCCAUGGAAGUUUGGGGUACCUGAAGUCGGUGACCGUAAAAGGAGCUGCCUAGGGUAAAACAAGUAACUAGGGCU
rnacentral:rRNA from 1 species